rnacentral:rRNA from 1 species
AUUGAACGCUGGCGGCAGGCCUAACACAUGCAAGUCGAGCGGUAGCACAGAGAGCUUGCUCUCGGGUGACGAGCGGCGGACGGGUGAGUAAUGUCUGGGAAACUGCCUGAUGGAGGGGGAUAACUACUGGAAACGGUAGCUAAUACCGCAUAACGUCGCAAGACCAAAGUGGGGGACCUUCGGGCCUCAUGCCAUCAGAUGUGCCCAGAUGGGAUUAGCUAGUAGGUGGGGUAACGGCUCACCUAGGCGACGAUCCCUAGCUGGUCUGAGAGGAUGACCAGCCACACUGGAACUGAGACACGGUCCAGACUCCUACGGGAGGCAGCAGUGGGGAAUAUUGCACAAUGGGCGCAAGCCUGAUGCAGCCAUGCCGCGUGUGUGAAGAAGGCCUUCGGGUUGUAAAGCACUUUCAGCGGGGAAGAAGGCGGUGAGGUUAAUAACCUUGUCGAUUGACGUUACCCGCAGAAGAAGCACCGGCUAACUCCGUGCCAGCAGCCGCGGUAAUACGGAGGGUGCAAGCGUUAAUCGGAAUUACUGGGCGUAAAGCGCACGCAGGCGGUCUGUCAAGUCGGAUGUGAAAUCCCCGGGCUCAACCUGGGAACUGCAUUCGAAACUGGCAGGCUAGAGUCUUGUAGAGGGGGGUAGAAUUCCAGGUGUAGCGGUGAAAUGCGUAGAGAUCUGGAGGAAUACCGGUGGCGAAGGCGGCCCCCUGGACAAAGACUGACGCUCAGGUGCGAAAGCGUGGGGAGCAAACAGGAUUAGAUACCCUGGUAGUCCACGCCGUAAACGAUGUCGAUUUGGAGGUUGUACCCUUGAGGCGUGGCUUCCGGAGCUAACGCGUUAAAUCGACCGCCUGGGGAGUACGGCCGCAAGGUUAAAACUCAAAUGAAUUGACGGGGGCCCGCACAAGCGGUGGAGCAUGUGGUUUAAUUCGAUGCAACGCGAAGAACCUUACCUGGUCUUGACAUCCACAGAACUUUCCAGAGAUGGAUUGGUGCCUUCGGGAACUGUGAGACAGGUGCUGCAUGGCUGUCGUCAGCUCGUGUUGUGAAAUGUUGGGUUAAGUCCCGCAACGAGCGCAACCCUUAUCCUUUGUUGCCAGCGGUUAGGCCGGGAACUCAAAGGAGACUGCCAGUGAUAAACUGGAGGAAGGUGGGGAUGACGUCAAGUCAUCAUGGCCCUUACGACCAGGGCUACACACGUGCUACAAUGGCAUAUACAAAGAGAAGCGACCUCGCGAGAGCAAGCGGACCUCAUAAAGUAUGUCGUAGUCCGGAUUGGAGUCUGCAACUCGACUCCAUGAAGUCGGAAUCGCUAGUAAUCGUAGAUCAGAAUGCUACGGUGAAUACGUUCCCGGGCCU